rnacentral:rRNA from 1 species
AGAGAUGUGUGAUGACGCAUAUCAAUAAGCGGAGGAAAAGAAACUAACAAGGAUUCCCUUAGUAACGGCGAGUGAAGCGGGAAGAGCUCAAAUUUGAAAUCUUCAAGGUUCUACCUUGACGAAUUGUAGUUUAUAGAAGUGUUUUCUGUUAGUAGAGUGGCAAAAGUUCUUUGGAAUAGGACAUCAUAGAGGGUGAGAAUCCCGUAUUUGGUCAUUCUUUCUAGCUUUGUGAUACACUUUCAACGAGUCGGAUUGUUUGGGAAUGCAGUCCAAAAUGGGUGGUAAAUUUCAUCUAAAGCUAAAUAUUGGCGAGAGACCGAUAGCGAACAAGUACCGUGAGGGAAAGAUGAAAAGAACUUUGAAAAGAGAGUUAAACAGUACGUGAAAUUGUCAAAAGGGAAGCGUUUGACACCAGUGUUGUUUUUCCGAAAAUCAAUUACGAAUGUUUUAUUUUUGAGAAGUUAUGACUUCAUCGGCUUGCUUCUUUCUUUACUGAAACUUUCUUAAUGCACUUUUCGGUUAACAAGUCAACAUCAAUUUCUUUUGUUGUAAAAGAGUACUGAGGAAGGUGGCUUUCUUUUCGGAGAAAGUGUUUAUAGCCUUGUACCUCUGCAAUCGGAGAGAUUGAGGUCUGCAGCGUAGAUCCUUCGGGGUUAGAUACAUUUGUGCUAAGUUAUAGCUUUUCAUAGACAACUUGUUGACUAUGUUAGUCUUGUAGCUUACUCGCUUAUGCUAUUUUACCUACGCUUAGGAUGUUGACGAUCAGCUGAGCGCG